rnacentral:rRNA from 1 species
UACGUAGGGUGCAAGCGUUAAUCGGAAUUACUGGGCGUAAAGGGCUCGUAGGCGGCCAACUAAGUCAGACGUGAAAUCCCCGGGCUUAACCUGGGAACUGCAUUUGUGACUGCAUAGCUAGAGUACGGCAGAGGGGGAUGGAAUUCCGCGUGUAGCAGUGAAAUGCGUAGAUAUGCGGAGGAACACCGAUGGCGAAGGCAGUCCCCUGGGCCUGUACUGACGCUCAUGCACGAAAGCGUGGGGAGCAAACAGG